rnacentral:rRNA from 1 species
CAAUAGCGUAUAUUAAAGUUGUUGCGGUUAAAAAGCUCGUAGUUGGAUUUCUGCCGAGGACGACCGGUCCGCCCUCUGGGUGAGUAUCUGGCUCGGCCUGGGCAUCUUCUUGGAGAACGUAGCUGCACUUGACUGUGUGGUGCGGUAUCCAGGACUUUUACUUUGAGGAAAUUAGAGUGUUUACGGCAGGCAAUCGCCUUGAAUAUAUUAGCAUGGAAUAAUACUAUAGGACCUUGGUUCUAUUUUGUUGGUUUCUAGAACUAAGGUAAUGAUUAAUAGGGAUAAUUGGGGGCAUUCGUAUUAACACGUCAGAGGUGAAAUUCUUGGAUUGUGUUACGACGAACUACUGCGAAAGCAUUUGCCAAGGAUGUUUUCAUUGAUCAAGAACGAAAGUGCGGGGAUCGAAGACGAUUAGAUACCGU